rnacentral:piRNA from 1 species
UGCUGAGCAUUUUCUCUACUGGGUGA